rnacentral:rRNA from 1 species
ACCUCAAAUCGGGUGAG